rnacentral:misc_RNA from 1 species
GAUGAAGAACGCAGUGAAAUGCGAUAAGUAGUGUGAAUUGCAGAAUUCAGUGAAUCAUCGAAUCUUUGAACGCACAUUGCGCCCCUUGGUAUUCCAUGGGGCAUGCCUGUUCGAGCGUCAUUUGUACCUUCAAGCCCUGCUUGGUGUUGGGUGUUUGUCUCGCCUCUGCGCGCAGACUCGCCUCAAAACAAUUGGCAGCCGGCGUAUUGAUUUCGGAGCGCAGUACAUCUCGCGCUUUGCACUCAGAACGACGACGUCCAAAAGUACAUUUUUACACUCUUGACCUCGGAUCAGGUAGGGAUACCCGCUGAACUUAAGCAUAUCAAUAAGCGGAGGA